rnacentral:rRNA from 1 species
CCUACGGGAGGCAGCAGUGGGGAAUAUUGCACAAUGGGGGAAACCCUGAUGCAGCGACGCCGCGUGAGUGAAGAAGUAAUUCGUUAUGUAAAGCUCUAGCAGCAGGGAAGAAAAUGACGGUACCUGAGUAAGAAGCCCCGGCUAACUACGUGCCAGCAGCCGCGGUAAUACGUAAGGGGCAAGCGUUACCCGGAUUUACUGGGUGGAAAGGGAGCGUAGACGGCAGUGCAAGUCUGGAGUGAAAGGCGGGGGCUCAACCCCCGGACUGCUCUGGAAACUGUACGGCUGGAGUGCAGGAGAGGUAAGUGGAAUUGCUAGUGUAGCGGUGAAAUGCGUAGAUAUUAGGAGGAACACCAGUGGCGAAGGCGGCUUACUGGACUGUAACUGACGUUGAGGCUCGAAAGCGUGGGGAGCAAACAGGAUUAGAUACCCCGGUAGUC